GUGCUAACCUGUCCUUCCCUCUUUGCAGGUUAGGAGGGAGCACAGGCUGGACAGCAGCUCAGGAUUUUUGCAGGAUCCCUGCAGUCCCUGACGGGUUUCCCGGUGCCACAGGCUCGGAGGAUGCUCCUGCGACCGAGGGACGUCUCCCCCCUCAGAAGAGGCCGUUCCAGCCCAUCCAUCACCAUCGUGCAACUGUGACCGAUCUCCACCACCUGGAGCCAGCACCGGGAGCUGUCCCGAGGCCUCUCCUGCCCCUCAGGCCAUUGCAUGCACCCUCGGUGUGUUCCCGCCCGGCUCAGCCGCUCAGGCAGGCUUAAAAAACAAAAAUAACACCUGAAAGGACACUG